UACGUAGGGUGCAAGCGUUAAUCGGAAUUACUGGGCGUAAAGCGUGCGCAGGCGGUGAUGUAAGACAGGUGUGAAAUCCCAGGGCUUAACCUUGGAACUGCAUUUGUGACUGCAUCGCUGGAGUGCGGCAGAGGGGGAUGGAAUCCCGCGUGUAGCAGUGAAAUGCGUAGAUAUCAGGAGGAAUACCGAUGGCGAAGGCAGGUCUCUGGGCUAACACUGACGCUCAUGCACGAAAGCGUGGGGAGCAAACAGG
rnacentral:rRNA from 1 species